rnacentral:rRNA from 1 species
GGGAUAACCCCGGGAAACUGGGGAUAAUAUCGGAUAACGCAUAUGUGCUGGAAUGCUUUAUGCGUAAAAUGGAUUCGUCCGCCCAAGGAUGGGUCUGCGGCCUAUCAGGUAGUAGUGGGUGUAAUGUACCUACUAGCCAACAACGGGUACGGGUUGUGAGAGCAAGAGCCCGGAGAUGGAUUCUGAGACAUGAAUCCAGGCCCUACGGGGCGCAGCAGGCGCGAAAACUUUACAAUGCGGGAAACCGUGAUAAGGGAACACCGAGUGCCAGCAUCAUAUGCUGGCUGUCCAGAUGUGUAAACUACAUCUGUUAGCAAGGGCCGGGCAAGACCGGUGCCAGCCGCCGCGGUAACACCGGCGGCCCGAGUGGUGACCGUUAUUAUUGGGUCUAAAGGGUCCGUAGCCGGUUUGGUCAAUCCUCCGGGAAAUCUGAUAGCUUAACUGUUAGGCUUUCGGGGGAUACUGCCAGGCUUGGAACCGGGAGAGGUAAGAGGUACUACAGGUGUAGGAGUGAAACCUUGUAAUCCCUGUGAGACCACCUGUGGCGAAGGCGUCUUACCAGAACGGGUUCGACGGUGAGGGACGAAAGCUGGGGGCACGAACCGGAUUAGAUACCCGGGUAGUCCCAGCCGUAAACUAUGCUCGCUAGGUGUCAGGCAUGGCGCGACCGUGUCUGGUGCCGCAGGGAAGCCGUGAAGCGAGCCACCUGAGAAGUCCGCC